rnacentral:rRNA from 1 species
AGCGUAGGUGGAUAUUUAAGUGGAUCUUAAAAGUGCGGGGCUCAACCCCGUGAUGGGGUCCAAACUGAAUAUCUUGAGUGCAGGAGAGGAAAGCGGAAUUCCUAGUGUAGCGGUGAAAUGCGUAGAUAUUAGGAAGAACACCAGUGGCGAAGGCGGCUUUCUGGACUGUAACUGACACUGAGGCUCGAAAGCCAGGGUAGCGAACG